CCUACGGGAGGCAGCAGUGAGGAAUAUUGGUCAAUGGCCGAGAGUCUGAACCAGCCAAGUCGCGUGAGGGAAGACUGCCCUACGGGUUGUAAACUUCUUUUGUCGGGGAGUAAAGCGAUCCACGUGUGACUCAUUGUGUGUACCCUAUGAAUAAGCAUCGGCUAACUCCGUGCCAGCAGCCGCGGUAAUACGGAGGAUCCGAGCGUUAUCCGGAUUUAUUGGGUUUUAAGGGUGCGAGGGUGGAGGUGCAAGUCAGCGGUCAAGUUUUGGGGCUCAACCCAAUACUGCAGGUGAAACUGGAAGUCUUGAGUACAGGAGAGGUAGGCGGAAUGCGUGGUGUAGCGGUGAAAUGCAUAGAUAUCACGCAGAACUCCGAUUGCGAAGGCAGCAUACCGGAGCGCAACUGACACUCAGGCACGAAAGCGUGGGUAUCGAACAGGAUUAGAUACCCUAGUAGUC
rnacentral:rRNA from 1 species